GCUAGCUUGCUCGUGUUUUCUCCACAGCUGUUUCUCUACAAUCAACGGCGCUUUUUCAUUUUAACUCCUUUGGGGAAAAGCAAGAGGAAAGACCGUCAUACAGUCAUGUCUACAGUGGGUAAGUAAGCUUUUAAAAAGCAUAUAUCCUGUUUAAACCUAUUCUAAGAUAAGCCAGUCAUACAUUCAUGAAUUAAAAAAGUUUUUUUUUUGUUGUACGUAUUUUUAUAUAGUUUGCUUCAUUAGGUAAUUCCACAAGGAGGAGCAAUGUUGCCGUGAGAUUUGAUGAUACGCUUAUUCAGCAAGAUGUCGAGGCACCAUUGACGGAUCAAACACGCGGUUUCUUAAAUCAACCUGGGUAUCUGUUGGGAAAUAUAAAGCCUCAUCAUCCUGCGAGCAAUAAGAAAGCUGAAAACAGGCCGCCUAGCCCCCAAGAAGAAAGGGUCCGAAAGGGCGAGGGCUUUUCACUAGAUCACUGUGCGGAACUCCAUUGCAACGAGGAGCGGACAGUUACAUCAUUAAAUAGAUAUAACGAUGUAGGUAUUGUCAUCAAACCAAACCGACUAAGUAGGAAGUAUAGGAAGAGGAGUAAUCUGGUGAGUUGGAAAGAAAAUGUAAAAAUAGGGGCAUUGUAUUUUUAAAAAGGUUGUCUUCUCAUAAUGCUACGUUGUGUUUUCAGACAUCAGAGUCAAACCGGGGAGCUUUCCCGCCCAAAAGACCCCGCCCGGUCUUUGUUCAAGCUGAUCCACCCUUGAGCGUGAUAUUAAAGGGACAUAACAGCGGUAUAGAGCAGACAAAGCCAGUAACACCUUUGCUGAGCCAGCAUCCGUUGGCCGCGGGGGUAGUCACACCUGAGGUCGAGGUGCUACAACCCACACAGCGUGGCUCUAUUGACCGUGGACAAAGCCUUUGUCCUAUACAAAGGGGGGAGGCGUUGGAGACCAUUGAGAGAGCUGGUGAGAACCAGACAACAGACGGAUUUUUACAUCUGAGAGAGGUGUUAACCCCCCAUGACAACAAUGUGCUGAAUACGACCCCCUGCAUUCAUCAAAGCCCCGCA